rfam:Monodelphis domestica chromosome 2, whole genome shotgun sequence.
CAAAAGGUUCUAAUAAGAACUACAAAUUAUUAAUAACCAUAAGACU